rnacentral:misc_RNA from 1 species
GAUGAAGAACGUAGCGAAAUGCGAUAAGUAGUGUGAAUUGCAGAAUUCAGUGAAUCAUCGAAUCUUUGAACGCACAUUGCGCCCCUUGGUAUCCCGAGGGGCAUGCCUGUUCGAGCGUCAUUUCACCACUCAAGCCUGGCUUGGUGUUGGGCGACGUCCUCUUUGGGGACGCGCCUCGAAACGCUCGGCGGCGCGGCACCGGCUUUAAGCGUAGCAGAAUCUUUCGCUUUGGAAGUCGGGGCCCCGUCUGCCGGAAGACCUGCUCGCAAGGUUGACCUCGGAUCAGGCAGGGAUACCCGCUGAACUUAAGCAUAUCAAUAAGCGGAGGA